GUGCCAGCCGCCGCGGUAAGACGAACCGUCCUAACGUUGUUCGGAAUCACUGGGCUUAAAGGGCGCGUAGGCGGUCGGCAAAGUCAGGGGUGAAAUCUUUCGGCUUAACCGGAAAAGUGCCUUUGAAACUAGUCGACUCGAGGGAGGUAGGGGCAAUUGGAACUUCCGGUGGAGCGGUGAAAUGCGUUGAUAUCGGAAGGAACGCCGGUGGCGAAAGCGAAUUGCUGGACCUCUUCUGACGCUGAGGCGCGAAAGCUAGGGGAGCAAACGGGAUUAGAAACCCCGGUAGUCC
rnacentral:rRNA from 1 species